GCCUGGGUCGCCUGUAUGCCAGACAAGUGCCCUACGCAGUGUGCUAUGGCGCAGACUCUCCAGCAGGGGAUGUGCAGAGGG
rnacentral:miRNA from 1 species